rnacentral:rRNA from 1 species
UACGUAGGUGACAAGCGUUGUCCGGAUUUACUGGGCGUAAAGAGCGCGCAGGCGGUCGUUCAAGUCGAGUGUGAAAGCCCCCGGCUCAACUGGGGAGGGUCACUCGAUACUGAUCGACUCGAAGGCAGGAGAGGGAAGUGGAAUUCCCGGUGUAGUGGUGAAAUGCGUAGAUAUCGGGAAGAACACCUGUGGCGAAGGCGGCUUCCUGGCCCGCAACUGACGCUGAGGCGCGAAAGCUAGGGGAGCAAACAGG